AUACAUAUACCUUGAACACUGAAGACUAAGUCAAUUGCACGUUGUCAAAAAAGUCAGAUUAUUCAUUGCUCUGUCAUUCACUUUUUGAAAAAUGAAAGAGCCUGUUUGUUCGAAAGGCCUUCAUUUCGAGGAAUAUUCGUGGAAGUGGGACUUCUCUACUUUCAAGGCCUUCAUUUCCAUUCAAAUAUUGCGCAGUCAAAAAACUUAGAGCUUUACUCCUCAUCUCUUGUAAUUCUCAUUUCGUCACAUCUUUCUCCUUCUCAAUCUUCUGUUUAUAGAUUCUGAUGGCUUUCCCGAUCAAUCAAGGAUUCUCUUUUUCUUCUUCUACUCGCCAGUGGAACUACGACGUCUUCUUAAGCUUUAGAGGUGAAGAUACCCGCAAUGGUUUUACUGGCCAUCUAUAUCAUAGUUUGUGCAACAAAGGAAUCAAGACCUUCAUUGAUAAUGAUCUCCAAAGAGGAGAAGAAAUUUCAAGAGAACUUCUCAAAACUAUUAGAUCGUCAAGGAUUUCAAUCAUCAUAUUCUCUCAAAAUUAUGCAUUUUCGACUUGGUGUUUGGAAGAACUUGUUGAGAUUCUUAAUUGCAAGCUAAAUGGACAAUGGGUUAUACCUGUUUUUUACAAAGUAGAUCCAUCUGAAGUACGUAAGCAAGAAGGUAAUUUUAAAGUAGCACUAGCUAAACAAGAAAACAAAUUCAAGAACAACAUAGAGAAGGUGCAGAGGUGGAGGGCAGCGCUAGAUGAAGCGGCUAGUUUAUCUGGAUGGCAUUAUGAGAAUGGCAACCCUGAAUAUGAAUUCAUCGAACAAAUUAUUGAAUAUAUAUGGUAUACCAAAUUAAGUGGCAGACAGCUAUUUGUGGCUAAAUACCCUGUUGGAGUAAACUCUCAUACCAAGGCCAUAGAAUCACUUUUGGAUAUUAAAAUAAAUGAUGUUCGGUUGGUAGGGAUUCUUGGUCUUGGGGGAAUAGGUAAGACAACUAUUGCAAAAGAUGUUUAUAAUAAAAUUGCUGAGCAUUUCGAAGGAAGUUGCUUUCUAGAGAAUGUUAGAGAGAAUUCUGGAACAAAUAAUGGCAUAAUGCAACUACAAGAGAGUCUCCUUUUUAAUAUUUUAAGGGGCAAACAUUUGAAGGUGGAGAGUGUAGCCCAUGGAGCCAAUAUGAUAAGGGAAAGGCUUCAAAGUAAAAGGGUUCUUCUAAUUCUUGAUGACGUGGAUAAAUCAAAACAAAUUGAAAAUUUGUUUGGAAAUUUUGAUUGGAUUUUUUCAGGAAGUAGAGUCCUUAUAACAACAAGAGACGCGCACUUGCUAGCUACUCUUAAAGUUUAUACAACUUACAAGGUGAAGAAAUUGGACGAACAUGAAGCUCUUGAACUCUUUAAUCAACAUGCCUUCCGAAGAUUUAAACUUGAGGAAGAUUAUUUUGAACUUGCAAACCAAGUCAUACAAUAUGCCGAUGGCCUACCAUUAGCUCUUACAAUAAUAGGUUCUGAUUUGUGUGGAAGAACAAAAUCUGAAUGGGAAAAUGCAAUUGAUCAAUAUAGAAAAAUUCCUGAAAGAGAUAUUCAUGAAAUACUUAAAGUAAGUUAUGAUGGAUUGAGACCAACAGAAAAGGAUAUUUUCCUUGAUAUUGCAUGUUUCUUCAAGGGAAGGAACAAGGAUAAUGUUGUAAAUAUAUUAGAUGCCUGCAAUUUAUAUCCAAAAUCUGGUAUUCCAAACCUUGUUAAUAAAUGUCUCAUAACUAUUGAUUUCGGUCACAUAUUGUGGAUGCAUGACUUGGUACAACAAAUGGGUAGGGAAAUUGUUCGACAAGAAUCACCAAAAAUCCUUAAAAAGAGGAGCAGGUUAUGGCAAUAUGAGGAUGCUCUUGAAGUACUAACCAGAAGUAAGGGUUCAGACGAAAUUCGAGGUAUAAAGUUGCAUUCGCCUAAUCCAAUAACAAUGCAACUACAUACUAAAGCUUUCAGAAAGAUGGAAAAUCUCAAAUUUCUUAUGGUUAGUAAUGUACUCAUUUUUGAAGAACUUAAAUAUCUCCCCAAUGGAUUAAAGUUACUUGAAUGGGACCAAUAUCAUUUUUCCUUGCCAUCCAAUUUUUGUCCUCAAGAACUUGUUGUACUCAAGAUGCCACAUAGUUGCAUUAGAUUGGCGAAGCUUUUCAAGCAGGGGUUCCUUUUCAAAAAUUUGAAAAGUAUUGAUUUGGAAAAGUGUUUAUCCAUUAGAAUAUUACCUGACUUGGGUGCCCCAAACUUAGAGAUAUUGGACAUUCGUGGUUGUGAAAAUUUAAUUGAGGUUCAUGAGGCCUUUGGAUCUCUACAUAAGCUCGAAAGGUGGUAUCUCUGCAAUUGCAAAAAACUUCAACUACUUCCUAGCAGCUUUAGGUUGAAAUCUCUUAAAGAAAUUAAUCUAAACGGCUGUGUAAGUCUUGAAAAAUUACCUGACUUAGGUGCCCCAAACUUAGAGAUAUUGGACAUUCGUGGUUGUGAAAAUUUAAUUGAGGUUCAUGAGGCCUUUGGAUCUCUUCAUAAGCUCGAAAGGUGGUAUCUCUGCAAUUGCAAAAAACUUCAAAUACUUCCUAGCAGCUUUAGGUUGAAAUCUCUUGAAGAAAUUAAUCUAUACAGUUGUGUAAGUCUUGAAAAAUUACCUGACUUGGGUGCCCCAAACUUAGAGAUAUUGGACAUUCGUGGUUGUGAAAAUUUAAUUGAGGUUCAUGAGGCCUUUGGAUCUCUUCAUAAGCUCGAAAGGUGGUAUCUCUGCAAUUGUAAAAAACUUCAAAUACUUCCUAGUAGCUUUAGGUUGAAAUCUCUUGAAGAAAUUAAUCUAUACGGUUGUGUAAGUCUUGAAAAAUUACCUGACUUGGGUGCCCCAAACUUAGAGAUAUUGGACAUUCGUGGUUGUGAAAAUUUAAUUGAGGUUCAUGAGGCAUUUGGAUCUCUUCAUAAGCUCGAAAGGUGGUAUCUCUGCAAUUGCAAAAAACUUCAAAUACUUCCUAGUAGCUUUAGGUUGAAAUCUCUUGAAGAAAUUAAUCUAUAUGGCUGUGUAAGUCUUGAAAAAUUACCUGACUUGGGUGCCCCAAACUUAGAGAUAUUGGACAUUCGUGGUUGUGAAAAUUUAAUUGAGGUUCAUGAGGCCUUUGGAUCUCUUCAUAAGCUCGAAAGGUGGUAUCUCUGCAAUUGCAAAAGACUUCAAAUACUUCCUAGCAGCUUUAGGUUGAAAUCUCUUGAAGAAAUUAAUCUAUACGGCUGUGUAAGUCUUGAAAAAUUACCUGACUUGGGUGCCCCAAACUUAGAGAAAUUGGACAUUCGUGGUUGUGAAAAUUUAAUUGAGGUUCAUGAGGCCUUUGGAUCUCUUCAUAAGCUCGAAAGGUGGUAUCUCUGCAAUUGCAAAAAACUUCAAAUACUUCCUAGCAGCUUUAGCUUGAACUCUCUUGAAGAAAUUAAUCUAUACGGUUGUGCAAGUCUUGAAAAAUUACCUGACUUGGGUGCCCCAAACUUAGAGAAAUUGGACAUUCGUGGUUGUGAAAAUUUAAUUGAGGUUCAUGAGGCCUUUGGAUCUCUUCAUAAGCUCGAAAGGUGGUAUCUCUGCAAUUGCAAAAAACUUCAAAUACUUCCUAGCAGCUUUAGGUUGGAAUCUCUUGAAGAAAUUAAUCUAUACGGUUGUGUAAGUCUUGAAAAAUUACCUGACUUGGGUGCCCCAAACUUAGAGAAAUUGGACAUUCGUGGUUGUGAAAAUUUAAUUGAGGUUCAUGAGGCCUUUGGAUCUCUUCAUAAGCUUGAAAGGUGCUAUCUCAACGAUUGGAAAAAACUUCAAAUACUUCCUAGCAGCUUUAGUUUGGGAUUUACUUCUGGGUUGGAUGAUUUGGGUUCUUCUUCAAUUGCCCGGAUUUGUGAUAACACUGAGCUACCACUUCUGUCGGCUUUUUUCUCCACUUCUUAUGGUUCAAAUUUAGACCAUGGGGUUUUCAACAAUGGAGGGGUUUCGGGGCAUUUGAUCGAACCAAACUUUGAAUCAACAUUUCCAGGUGAUGUGCUCGAUUUGGAUUCAUCAUCAUUUGUCAAUCCAUUUGCAAGCAUUGAAUAUAGUGAUUUGCACACUUCAGAUUCAUCAUCAUUUGUCAAUCCAUUUGCAAGCAUUGGAUAUAAUUCAACAUUGGCUCCUUCGGUUUUUGAAGACACCACCAUCCACCAUUCUUUGCCAGUGCUUCCAGUGAAUACCACAAAUGGGUCUGAAUUAGGCUUGGGUCGGCAAUAUUUGGGAUUCAGUGAUGGGUUUGAUCUAGGUUCCUCUUCAAUGGCCCAUGCCUUUGACAACAAUGAUUCUGACUUCAAUCUAUUUCCACCAUCAAAGAAGACAAGAACAUCUUGAUCAAACUUCAAAGAAUUAUGCUUCCACCUAAAAGCAACCUCGAUGCCAAGCUCACUCCUGAAGAUUUAAACCCAGCCCUUGCACCCCCACAGCCCACAAGAAUUUUAUGCCUGUGGAGUGACCAUCACAACAAAAAUGUGCGGUGUUAUGCAGUUGCUGUUGCUGUUGCUAUUAAAGUAAUUGGUUUGAAGUGUUUGCAAGAAUUCAAAACCUCUGAGGUAAGACCAUGGAAAUUUUAUUUUGUGGAUCUCCUAUUUUAGAGAUUGAUGUUUUGGUGAAGAUUCUUGGAUGGGAGGAUGGUACAAGGUCAAAGAUUUAAACUGCAACCUUUCCAUAAUAGUUCAGUGAUUUAGGUUCAGGAGCUCAGGUGGGAGGUAAAGAGUAGACUCCUCUACUAUGGCAUUCAUUAAAGGACUAGAUCCUAUGUCAAGGUAAUCAAGAGGUACUCUCUAUAGUUAAAAGGGGAUGCAGCAAACACAUGGGAAGUGGACACUACAUUUAAACCACCUAAUGUACUUUUCAGCUGUUUUCUGGGAAGUAUGGCACAUGAUCAUAUAUUAGAGAUUAUUUAUUGCACGGUUCUGGAAAAGCUCGAACAAGUCUAGCUGCCAAGGAACAAUGAUAGUUUUGAGAUGGCUGUGAAAAUUAGUCCAAAGAUUAACAAAGUUUUCAGACAAGAAGGCGUGGAUGGAAAAUAGCCUUACAAUUGGACGCAAGUGGGAUUGCAAGAGAGGCUCAAUGGCAAAGACCUUGAUCUUGGUUGCACUCGAUUGGGUAGAAUAGUGAGUGUAGGUUGGUUUUCUUAUCUGUGGCUGCCCUUCCUUCCACUGAUUAUAAUUUUACUGGUUGGGACAAAGCUACUAGUGAUUAUAACCAAGAUGGGUUUGAGCAUUCGAGAGAGAGAAUGCCUUUCAACUGGCCUUCUUUGUGUGGACUUGGUAUCAAUUUGGGUUAAAUUCUUGCUUUCAUGAGAAGUUAGAAGAUGUGAUCAUCCGGAUAUCUAUGGGGGUCCUCAUACAGAUACUAUGCAGCUAUGUGACUCUUCCUCUAUAUGCUUUGGUAACACAGAUGGGUUCGACCAUGAAGCCAACAAUCUUCAACGAAAGAGUGGCAAAUGCACUAUGAAAGUGGCACCACAAAGCAAAGAAAAACAUAAAACAGAAUCAACAUUCAACCAGUACGCCAGAAACCCCAAUGCAUUCCAUGUCUCCUGUCCAUCUCCUUCAUCACUAUCAAGGUGAAAUAGACAGCAUUCAUAAAACGCAAAGGAUGUCCAAUUUCAAUAACGAAGGUAGGGAUACGAAUGGGCCCCAUUCAUCCUCUCACCACCAUGAUCAAGCAUCAGUGCCUAAGAACCAGAGAAACCAUGGACAAGAAGAGAGCAGUGCUCAUGUGCCGUGCUCCACACAUUCUCCUGCAUCUCGUCAUUCAUUACGUGUUCACUCAAUAGAAUUCUCAUUUGACAAUAGCUAGAUUAAAAGAUUACAGAUAAGUGAAAAAAAAAUCCUAUAAAAAUAAAGAGGAAAAGGAUAAUGUAGAGAGAGAGGUCCGAUGAGACUUUGGAAUGAGGAGACAGUCACCAGCCUACCUAGCAGCCAUUCUGUUGGUGUGGCGCCACUCUGUAUCUUUGUAACUUUGUUCAUUUAUGUACACCAAUCAUGGACUGAAAAAUGACAAUCUCAACUUUAUGUUUUCUGGAAAGAUUUCUAGUGGAAGAUAUCAGCAUCAUCAAAGUUCACAAUGGUAUUUAUAGUUU